GACGAACGCUGGCGGCGUGCUUAACACAUGCAAGUCGAACGGAAGGGCCCUGCUUUUGUGGGGUGCUCGAGUGGCGAACGGGUGAGUAACACGUGAGUAACCUGCCCUUGACUUUGGGAUAACUUCAGGAAACUGGGGCUAAUACCGGAUAGGAGCUCCUGCUGCAUGGUGGGGGUUGGAAAGUUUCGGCGGUUGGGGAUGGACUCGCGGCUUAUCAGCUUGUUGGUGGGGUAGUGGCUUACCAAGGCUUUGACGGGUAGCCGGCCUGAGAGGGUGACCGGCCACAUUGGGACUGAGAUACGGCCCAGACUCCUACGGGAGGCAGCAGUGGGGAAUAUUGCACAAUGGGCGGAAGCCUGAUGCAGCAACGCCGCGUGCGGGAUGACGGCCUUCGGGUUGUAAACCGCUUUCGCCUGUGACGAAGCGUGAGUGACGGUAAUGGGCAAAGAAGCACCGGCUAACUACGUG
rnacentral:rRNA from 1 species